ACGCUCGACACCUACGGAGCAGCAGUAGGGAAUCUUCCACAAUGGGCGCAAGCCUGAUGGAGCAACACCGCGUGAGUGAAGAAGGGUUUCGGCUCGUAAAGCUCUGUUGUUGGAGAAGAACGUGCGUGAGAGUAACUGUUCACGCAGUGACGGUAUCCAACCAGAAAGUCACGGCUAACUACGUGUCAGCAGCCGCGGUAAUCUGAGCGGGCUGGCAAGGC
rnacentral:rRNA from 1 species